UUAAUCGGAAUUACUGGGCGUAAAGCGUGCGCAGGCGGUUUGUUAAGUCCGCUGUGAAAUCCCCGAGCUCAACUUGGGAAUUGCAGUGGAUACUGGCAAGCUGGAGUAUGGUAGAGGAAGGUGGAAUUCCCGGUGUAGCAGUGAAAUGCGUAGAGAUCGGGAGGAACACCAGUGGCGAAGGCGGCCUUCUGGACCAAUACUGACGCUCAUGCACGAAAGCGUGGGGAGCAAACAGG
rnacentral:rRNA from 1 species